UUUCCCUCUCACAAAAUUUCCCCAAAAUUUUUUCCCUUUCAGUCUUUCACUUAGGGAUUUCAUGAGCUCUCUCAUUCUCAUUCUCACUCUCUCUCACGGUAAUCUCUCUUUCUCCCCUCACUCCUCUUCUCUCUUUUUCCCCUCCAUCGGACCCAUCUACCACUACCACCCAUUGCACAGCCACCCACUGCAUAGCCACCCUCUGCCACCAAUGCUAGCCACCGCCGCCGCCAUCAUUGACCUCCAAUCUCGCCAUUAGGAAGUUCUCACACAAAUCCCACAAAAGAAGUGCUUAGAGCUUAGUUUCAAAUACUGCCAUAAGCCAAUUAGCCAGACUCCACUGCAACGUU